UUAGGAAUUUUAUUUUAUUUUUCAUAUUUUUUAAACAAUUAAAUUUUCUUUGAGAAAAAAUUUAUUUUUUUCUGUAUUCCUUAGUUAAAAAUACUAACAUAAUUUAAAACGAAUAUAAACUGUUGUGAUAUAUUUGGCGCUUUUCUUGAAGGGAAGAAAAAGAAGAGAUGUAAAGGGGAAAAUAGUGCGCAGAAAAGAAUUUAAGUUGAGUGUUGAGUGAAGUAAAGAAAGAUUUGAAAUAAAAAGGAAAAGAUGUAUAUCACUUUGUACAGAAAAUUGUAUACACUAGACUAAUAGACAGGAUAGUUUUCAAUAAAACGAAGGUGAAGGCAAGAAAAUAAAGUAAUAUGUAAAAAGGACAAAACGAGAGAAAAGAGAGAGAUAAAUAAAUAAAAGAAGAUGGGAGGAGCACGGGAAAUAAAAAGUUUGAAAGAUAGUUUGGAUAUAGAGACUUUAAAAGUAGUGUGUGACUUUAAAAGGCUUAAGCUUCAUUAGUAAAAUAAGUUGGAAUAUGAAGCUUGGAAUGAACUAGAAGAAUAGUGUAUAGAUGAGGUAAGGAAUAGGCUUAAAAAUACAUAAAGAUCAGGGAAACGAAGAUUAAGCUUCUGUGUGCGAAGCAAGAAGUAAACGAGAGAGGAAGAAAGGGAGAGAGAGAAACAAGUAGAGAGAGGGCGAAUUUCAGAGAGAUGGAGACUUAGAGAGAGGGUGAGGGAGGGAGUGAGAGAAAACUGAUGGCGAGAGUGCAGGUAGUGCGAGAAAACGGAAACAAUGGUAGAAAAGCUUGUAGUUGAGGCUAGGUACAGAACUGAGUUUAUAAAA